CCUACGGGAGGCAGCAGUGAGGAAUAGUGGGCAAUGGGCGCGAGCCUGAACCAGCCAAGUAGCGGGAAGGAUGAAAGCCCUACGGGUGGUAAACUUCUUUUAUAAAGGAAUAAAGUGAGGCACGUGUGCCGUUUUGUAUGUACUUUAUGAAUAAGGAUCGGCUAACUCCGUGCCAGCAGCCGCGGUAAUACGGAGGGGCCGAGCGUUAUCCGGAUUUAUUGGGUUUAAAGGGAGCGUAGAUGGGUUGUUAAGUCAGUUGUGAAAGUUUGCGGCUCAACCGUAAAAUUGCAAUUGAUACUGGCAGUCUUGAGUACAGUUGAGGUCGGCGGAAUUCGUGGUGUAGCGGUGAAAUGCUUAGAUAUCACGAAGAACUCCGAUUGCGAAGGCAGCUUACUAAACUGCAACUGACAUUGAUGCUCGAAAGUGUGGGUAUCAAACAGGAUUAGAUACCCUUGUAGUC
rnacentral:rRNA from 1 species